UGUUGCUGCUUCUACAUACUUCAAGCAUUGAGCUUAGGUUUUUUGUUGGUAUACUUCUACAAUUUGCUAUCAGCCACAUACCUUGCUAUCUGAUAUUCUCUGUGAUGCUUUACUGGACGACGUUAGUAGCUCAAGGUCAUUACCAGACUCUAUACACCAGACUCUAUAUGCCAGCAGCUUCAUCCACAACUACCGACAGGAGCUCGCUAGAUACCCUGCUUUGACUACAGGCUAUCUUUUCCACGAGACAAUCUUGUAGCCUUGUUAUGCUUACUGCUCAAGAUUAAGCAAAACAAAAUAGUGUUUUACCUAUUUUGCACAUCUGGAACUUGUAUCAAGGUCAACGAAAAGUCAUUAUGAAAACCAACAAUUAUCUAAACUACAAUUCUGCUCACAAAUAGCCCGUCAUCAAAGCAACCCCCCUGAAAAUACGACCAACUCAAACAACAACGAAGAACAAAAAAGG